rfam:Brachypodium distachyon strain Bd21 chromosome 5, whole genome shotgun sequence.
AAAGUACUCCCUCCGUCUCAUAUUAAGUGACUCAAAUUUGCCCAAAUAUGAAUGUAUCUAUACCUAAAAAACGUCUAGAUAUAUGUAACAGAAAGUCACUUAAUAUAAGACGGAGGAAGUAAAAU